UACGGAGGGGGCUAGCGUUGUUCGGAAUUACUGGGCGUAAAGCGCGCGUAGGCGGCUAGGAAAGUUGGAGGUGAAAGCCCAGAGCUCAACUCUGGAACUGCCUUCAAAACUUCCUAGCUAGAGGCAAGGAGAGGAGAGCGGAAUACCCAGUGUAGAGGUGAAAUUCGUAGAUAUUGGGUGGAACACCAGUGGCGAAGGCGGCUCUCUGGCCUUGAUCUGACGCUGAGGCGCGAAAGCGUGGGGAGCAAACAGG
rnacentral:rRNA from 1 species